rnacentral:rRNA from 1 species
AUUGAACGCUGGCGGCAGGCCUAACACAUGCAAGUCGAGCGGCAGCGACUUAACUGAACCUUCGGGGAACGUUAAGGGCGGCGAGCGGCGGACGGGUGAGUAAUGCCUGGGAAUAUGCCCUGAUGUGGGGGAUAACUAUUGGAAACGAUAGCUAAUACCGCAUAAUCUCUUCGGAGCAAAGAGGGGGACCUUCGGGCCUCUCGCGUCAGGAUUAGCCCAGGUGGGAUUAGCUUGUUGGUGAGGUAAUGGCUCACCAAGGCUACGAUCCCUAGCUGGUCUGAGAGGAUGAUCAGCCACACUGGAACUGAGACACGGUCCAGACUCCUACGGGAGGCAGCAGUGGGGAAUAUUGCACAAUGGGGGAAACCCUGAUGCAGCCAUGCCGCGUGUGUGAAGAAGGCCUUCGGGUUGUAAAGCACUUUCAGUAGGGAGGAAGGUAGUGUAGUUAACACCUGCACUAUUUGACGUUACCUACAGAAGAAGCACCGGCUAACUCCGUGCCAGCAGCCGCGGUAAUACGGAGGGUGCGAGCGUUAAUCGGAAUUACUGGGCGUAAAGCGCAUGCAGGCGGCCUGUUAAGUCAGAUGUGAAAGCCCGGGGCUUAACCUCGGAAUUGCAUUUGAAACUGGCAGGCUAGAGUCUUGUAGAGGGGGGUAGAAUUUCAGGUGUAGCGGUGAAAUGCGUAGAGAUCUGAAGGAAUACCAGUGGCGAAGGCGGCCCCCUGGACAAAGACUGACGCUCAGAUGCGAAAGCGUGGGGAGCAAACAGG